rnacentral:lncRNA from 1 species
CACCUACUUAAUUAAAAGAAAAGCAAUUGGCAUUGUGGCAUAAGCAAUAUAAGCAAUGUGCUUUAAAAUGCCAUGAAACAGAAGCUUUACUUCAGCUAAAGGGGGAAAAAAGUGUUUUGUAUUAAAUAAAAGAAUGCAAGCUGGCUUUUAUUGAAAUUUUACCCUAGCUGGUAUGUAAAUAAAGUAUACAGUACUGAUAAAGGCCACAACCUAUUGCAGUAUACUCUGAAACUGGCAGUGUUUAAUGAUAAGGUCAAUAUGAAGGAAAGGAAGGCUGGAAAGACAAAAAUGCUCCACAAAGCUGCUCCACUUUCUGUAAAUAGGAAAAAUAACAUCAGGCUCAAUGAUUUACUCCAUCAGAAGCAAGUCAGCCCUCUUAAUUUUGUAUUUGUUAAGUCGUGAGGCAUGACGGCCACCUCAGGUCUCAGUAGAGCUGUUGUUUGGCAUGCCACAGGUGGAUUAUGACUGUAUCCCCUUUGCCCCAAAAUGCAACUGGCAAUAGAAGUGAAGCACUUUCCCAUCUCUCCACCAGAGACUGCCAUCAAUAAAGUUGUGAUCAAGCAAGACAUGGCUGGGUUAUUUCCUGACAAUGACAGCAAUGUACCUUAAAAGGAUGCUGUAUUUGGGGGGGAGUUUAUAAAAGGAGAUUAUAAGAGAGUAAACUUUCUGAAGAGGAGGUUAGUAAGUUUCCAUUUAUUGAACUAAUAUUUCUCCUAUUGUAAGAACUGCCCCACAGAGUUCUUGAAGAAAUAUCAUUCUGGAAAAACAAAACAGCUCUGGAAAUAUGCUGCCUGGCCCGUGCACUGUUAGUGACUCACCUCCAGACUGACAGGAUGCAUGAAUGAUGAUCUGAAUGUCUCAUGCAAUUCAGAGUGGCAGAACAGAACUGCAACAAAAUGGAAUCAGAAACAAUCUAUCCAUCAACCUGUGAUACCCAUCUUUGGCCCCUUUUCUGACCUUUUCUAUUUAUUCUGUCUAGGCUAUUCUGGUUUCACAGUGUGGAUCUUUCUUUCUCUCUCUCUCUCUUUUUUUUUUUUUUUUGUUUUGUUUUGUUUUUCUGGGGGGAAGGCAAGGCAUAAUCUUUUCUUUUUUCUUUUUCUUUUUCUUUUUCUUUUUCUUUUUCUUUUUCUUUUUCUUUUUCUUCUUCUUCUUCUUCUUCUUCUUCUUCUUCUUCUUCUUCUUCUUCUUCUUCUUUUUCAACUCUGAAGUUUUGUAUUGCUAAGAAAUUCUCAGUUUUAAUCCUUUCUCCUUCAUAUGCUUAUUUCCUUUAUUAAUAUACCUUUUCUUAUGUUUCACAAAUAUUCUAAUACUGUUCAAUUUGUGUUGCUUCAUCGAGGGAAAUUGCUUGGGAAGCAGGUAAAAAUGAUUCCACAAAACAUUGCUGGAGGUAUAUGGUGAAAAAUACUGUUAGGUCUGAAUAUGGAUUCAGCAAUAUCACACCUUAUUGAGAACUUGCCCACACAGAUUUUGGCUCACUCAGUCCCUAUGUGCUCUGGUCACUGAAGAGAGAUUCUGCAUAUUUUAUAUGGAAAGCAAGACUGGUGUUUUUUUGUUUGUUUGUUUUGUUUUUUUGUUUUUUGAGACAUGGAAUCAUUCUGCUCUGGCAGCCAGCCAGAAGAUAUAUAGACUCAGUAGCCCUAUUAAUGCCUUACUACUCAACUUAUUACAGGGAAACUUUGUUUCAUCUGUGUCUUCUAUGACUCCAAUUGGUUUAGAGUCAGUCAGAAUUUGUUUGUAUCUGACCAUAAAAGACUGUAG